rnacentral:rRNA from 1 species
AUGAACGCUAGCGGCAGGCUUAACACAUGCAAGUCGAGGGGCAACACGGGUAGCAAUACCUGGUGGCGACCGGACGCAAGGGUGCGUAACGCGUGAGCAACAUGCCCUAUACAGGGGGAUAAUCCAGGGAAACUUGGUCUAAUAUCCCAUAGUAUUUAGAGGUGGCAUCACCACUAAAUUAAAGCUUCGGUGGUAUAGGAUUGGCUCGCGUGACAUUAGCUGGAUGGUGGGGUAACGGCUCACCAUGGCGAUGAUGUCUAGGGGUUCUGAGAGGAAGACCCCCCACACCUGGGACUGAGACACGGCCCAGACUCCUACGGGAGGCAGCAGUGAGGAAUAUUGGACAAUGGAUGGAAAUCUGAUCCAGCCAUGCCGCGUGCAGGAAGACGGCCCUAUGGGUUGUAAACUGUCUUUUAUAUGGGAGCAAUAAGGUUUACGCGUAGACCGAUGAGAGUACCAUAUGAAUAAGCAUCGGCUAACUCCGUG